rnacentral:lncRNA from 10 species
CUCUACUCUGAGUGAUGGAGGAGGAGUCAUUGGAGGGUUUUAAGCACAGUGAUAAGUUCAGGCUUAUGUAUUAAAAAAGUAGCUCAGGAUACUGUAUUGAGAACAGAUGUUUAGAACAAGAGGGGCAGAGAUAGCCCAAGUAGGAAGGGGUUGCAACAAUCCAGGUGAGACAUUAUAAUGACCUAGGCCUGGGUGGGAGUAUCAUGAGUAGGGGUGAGAAAUAAUUGGGUUAUGGAUAAUUUUGAAGAUAGAGUA